AGUGAACGCUGGCGGCAGGCCUAACACAUGCAAGUCGAGCGGCAGCGGGUCCCCGCGAGGGGAGUGCCGGCGAGCGGCGGACGGGUGAGGAACACAUCGGAAUCUGCCUGGUUGUGGGGGAGUAACGUAGGGAACUUAACGCUAAUACCGCAUGCGACCCUGAGUCGACGGACUUGGGGUGAAAGUGAGGGACCUUCGGCCGUCACGCGACCAGAUGAGCCGAUGU
rnacentral:rRNA from 1 species